AGUGAACGCUGGCGGUAGGCCUAACACAUGCAAGUCGAACGGCAGCACAGUAAGAGCUUGCUCUUACGGGUGGCGAGUGGCGGACGGGUGAGGAAUACAUCGGAAUCUACUUUUUCGUGGGGGAUAACGUAGGGAAACUUACGCUAAUACCGCAUACGACCUACGGGUGAAAGCAGGGGAUCUUCGGGCCUUGCGCGACUGAAUGAGCCGAUGUCGGAUUAGCUAGUUGGCGGGGUAAAGGCCCACCAAGGCGACGAUCCGUAGCUGGUCUGAGAGGAUGAUCAGCCACACUGGAACUGAGACACGGUCCAGACUCCUACGGGAGGCAGCAGUGGGGAAUAUUGGACAAUGGGCGCAAGCCUGAUCCAGCCAUACCGCGUGGGUGAAGAAGGCCUUCGGGUUGUAAAGCCCUUUUGUUGGGAAAGAAAAGCAGCAGGUUAAUACCCCGCUGUUCUGACGGUACCCAAAGAAUAAGCACCGGCUAACUUCGUG
rnacentral:rRNA from 1 species